ensembl:lncRNA
CGCUGUUAUAUACAGUCAGAAUCUACAAUACAGAAAUGCGGUGGUAGGAUGAACAUUUCAUGCAUCAUUUAACGCCUUAAACUCUCAGCAUAUUGUUUGGUCAGUUAUCUUCAAGCAUGUUGUUCUGUAACCAAAAAGAUACUUCUGGAGUUUGGCGAGUUUGGUGGAGUGUUGAAAGUGAAAUCCCUUUAGAUUCCAUACAUCUCUUGGUCUUGAAUUCCCAAUAGAUUCAUUUCUUCUACAGGUCUCGAAUUUCCAAUAGUUUCCAUUCUUCUACAGAUUUUGCCAUCCCCUUAGAUACCAUACUCCUCCAGGUCUCGAAAUCCUUUUAGCUUCCAUUCUUCUCCAGGUUUUGAAAUCUCUUUACAUUCCAUUCUUCUCCAGGUCUCAAAUUCCCUCUACAUUCCAUUCUUCUCCAGGUCUCCAAUUCCCUUUAGAUUCCAUUCUUCUCCAGGUCUCCAAUUCCCUUUAGAUUCCAUUCUUCUCCAGGUCUCCAAUUCCCUCUACAUUUCAUUCUUCUCCAGGUCUCCAAUUCCCUCUACAUUCCAUUCUUCUCCAGGUCUCCAAUUCCCUUUAGAUUCCAUUCUUCUCCAGGUCUCAAAUUCCCUCUACAUUACAUUCUUCUCCAGGUCUCCAAUUCCCUUUAGAUUCCAUAGUUCUCCAGGUCUCCAAUUCCCUCUACAUUCCAUUCUUCUCCAGGUCUCCAAUUCCCUUUAGAUUCCGUAGUUCUCCAGGUCUCGAAUUCCCUCUCCAUUCCAUAGUUUUCCA